CGAAGCAACGCGAAGAACCUUACCUAAGCUUGACAUCCCAAUGACAUCUCCUUAAUCGGAGAGUUCCCUUUGGGGACAUUGGUGACAGGUGGUGCAUGGUUGUCGUCAGCUCGUGUCGUGAGAUGUUGGGUUAAGUCCCGCAACGAGCGUAACCCUUGUCUUUAGUUGCCAUCAUUAAGUUGGGCACUCUAGAGAGACUGCCAGGGAUAACCUGGAGGAAGGUGGGGAUGACGUCAAAUCAUCAUGCCCCUUAUGCUUAGGGCUACACACGUGCUACAAUGGGUAGUACAGAGGGUUGCCAAGCCGUAAGGUGGAGCUAAUCCCUUAAAGCUACUCUCAGUUCGGAUUGUAGGCUGAAACUCGCCUACAUGAAGCUGGAGUUACUAGUAAUCGCAGAUCAGAAUGCUGCGGUGAAUACGUUCCCGGGUCUUGUACACACCGCCCGUCACACCACGGGAGUUGGAGACGCCCGAAGCCGAUUAUCUAACCUUUUGGAAGAAAUCGUCGAAGGUGGAAUCAAUAACUGGGGUGAAGUCGUAACAAGGUAGCCGUAUCGGAAGGUGCGGCUGGAUCACCUCCUUUCUAAGGA
rnacentral:rRNA from 1 species